rnacentral:tRNA from 1 species
GCCCGGGUAGCUCAGUUGGUAGAGCAGCGGACUGAAAAUCCGCGUGUCGGUGGUUCGAGUCCGCCCCCGGGCA